rnacentral:tRNA from 1 species
GUUUCCGUAGUGUAGUGGUUAUCACGUUUGCCUAACAUGCAAAAGGUCCCCUGUUCGAAACAGGGCGGAAACA